UGGGGAAUAUUGGACAAUGGGCGAAAGCCUGAUCCAGCCAUGCCGCGUGUGUGAAGAAGGCCUUUUGGUUGUAAAGCACUUUAAGCGAGGAGGAGGCUACUUAGAUUAAUACUCUAGGAUAGUGGACGUUACUCGCAGAAUAAGCAGCGGCUAACUCUGUGCCAGCAGCCGCGGUAAUACAGAGGGUGCGAGCGUUAAUCGGAUUUACUGGGCGUAAAGCGUGCGUAGGCGGCUUUUUAAGUCGGAUGUGAAAUCCCUGAGCUUAACUUAGGAAUUGCAUUCGAUACUGGGAAGCUAGAGUAUGGGAGAGGAUGGUAGAAUUCCAGGUGUAGCGGUGAAAUGCGUAGAGAUCUGGAGGAAUACCGAUGGCGAAGGCAGCCAUCUGGCCUAAUACUGACGCUGAGGUACGAAAGCAUGGGGAGCAAACAGG
rnacentral:rRNA from 1 species